CCCCGUACACAAAAAUGCACAUACUGUGAGCUCGAUGAGUAGGGCGGGACACGUGGUAUCCUGUCUGAAUAUGGGGGGACCAUCCUCCAAGGCUAAAUACUCCUGACUGACCGAUAGUGAACCAGUACCGUGAGGGAAAGGCGAAAAGAACCCCGGCGAGGGGAGUGAAAAAGAACCUGAAACCGUGUACGUACAAGCAGUGGGAGCACGCUUAGGCGUGUGACUGCGUACCUUUUGUAUAAUGGGUCAGCGACUUAUAUUCUGUAGCAAGGUUAACCGAAUAGGGGAGCCGAAGGGAAACCGAGUCUUAACUGGGCGUUAAGUUGCAGGGUAUAGACCCGAAACCCGGUGAUCUAGCCAUGGGCAGGUUGAAGGUUGGGUAACACUAACUGGAGGACCGAACCGACUAAUGUUGAAAAAUUAGCGGAUGACUUGUGGCUGGGGGUGAAAGGCCAAUCAAACCGGGAGAUAGCUGGUUCUCCCCGAAAGCUAUUUAGGUAGCGCCUCGUGAAUUCAUCUCCGGGGGUAGAGCACUGUUUCGGCAAGGGGGUCAUCCCGACUUACCAACCCGAUGCAAACUGCGAAUACCGGAGAAUGUUAUCACGGGAGACACACGGCGGGUGCUAACGUCCGUCGUGAAGAGGGAAACAACCCAGACCGCCAGCUAAGGUCCCAAAGUCAUGGUUAAGUGGGAAACGAUGUGGGAAGGCCCAGACAGCCAGGAUGUUGGCUUAGAAGCAGCCAUCAUUUAAAGAAAGCGUAAUAGCUCACUGGUCGAGUCGGCCUGCGCGGAAGAUGUAACGGGGCUAAACCAUGCAC
rnacentral:rRNA from 1 species